ACCCGGAUAUGUCAUUUGUUUUCCAUCCAUUAGUUGUCGCUCGAUUGGUCAUGCUGGCUGCUGACUAACACAGGGAAGGAGGACAACAUUUGACAACAACAUGGACCUUUGAAAAUAACUGAGACUUCAACACAGUCUUGGACAACAGCAAACUGCAAACAUGACAAAUGUGUACUCGUUGGAUGGGAUUGUGGUAUUUGGAAUUCUGUUCAUCUGUACAUGUGCAUACCUCAAGAAGGUGCCUCGCCUCAACAGCUGGCUACUCUCAGAAAAGAAAGGUGUGUGGGGGGUGUUCUAUAAAGCUGCAGUGAUUGGGACUAGACUCCACCAUGCUGUGGCGAUAACCUGUCUGACGAUGGCAUUGUACCUGGUCUCCUUAAAGUGACAGUGUCAGGCUGGGAUGGACCAGACUGGACUAGGAUGGACUGGAGUGGACCGGACAUGGCCAGGCUUGGCUGGGCUGGAUUGGCCUGUGCUGGUUUGCCACCCAUGGACACUGUUUGGACAAUGUGUGCCCAACACUCCCAAUUUAUUCACCCAGGACCUGUAAAGGAUAAGGAUAAGCCAAUAGUGCCCCACAUUAGGUAAAUAAGAUCCCUGUAGCUCACUGCACUCUUCUAAACCUGACAUCAUCCAUCCCUGCAUGACACAACUGUCAUCCAGUUUACCCUGAGUUUCCUGUACAGAUCUUAUAGAACAGUGUUUCUAUUCUUGAGGUGCACAUUCUUUGUUCUGGCUCAACACUAACACAUCUGAUUCUACUGUUUAAUUGCUCAACCAGUCACCAAGCCAUUGAAUAGUUGAAUCGGGUGUGUUAGCUCUGGGCUGAAACAAAACCGUGGUCCACCUGGAAUGGAUUAGGGAUCACAGUGAUAGAGAUGUCAGCAGGCUAAGUAGUGUCAGCAUGCUGAUGUACUCAGCACGCUCAUGUGUUGAGUAGUAUCUUUAUUUAAUACUGUUGUUAGCAGAAAUUGUUGUUUAAUAAUUUUUAUUAUCAUCUAAUUACCAUUCUCAACGGUUUAUUCUGGGGAAAGGACUGGUAUUAAGGAAUAGCCUAAAAUAAUGUGGAAAAUAUUAAUUCCUGUUUAAAGUCAGACUUCGGUUGUAUAUAUUUAGGGGGGAAAGUCAGUAUAAUAGAUUUUAAAAAGCUGUUUUCUGUAGAGCACCAUAGAGAAGAGCAUCACAUGCAUUGUUGUUAAGUCUAAAUAUCUCUUUGUUUAUUCAAAGGUAUUUUUUAACGUUAAAGUGGUUGUACGUUGUCAUGAUUAUCGUCACUAUCAUUUUUCAACAACCUGGAAUAACCCUGGGCCAUAGUUAAAAGCUAUAAGGUCACAUGUUCAGGUAAACUCUUGGUUCCUUGCCAAAUUUUCACAAACAACUAAUAUAGGAGAAAUGUCUUGGUGUCCAGCUUAACCUCUUAUUUUCUUUCAACCUCUGUUCUUCUUUUUUUUGCUCUGUAAUUUAUGUAUGAUUUCCCUGUUUGGAAAAACCACUACAGAUUUCUGCACCAGUGCUUUGUGACUGGCCCGCUGUAUGUUGUGUGACAAUAGCGCUCAUCAUCUUUGGGGAAAAUAAAUUUUAAAAAAUUACUUAAAACACCUUAACAGUGCUGUAUGUUACAUUUUAGUGAAAGAUGCAAUGAGAACCUCUGUCAAUGAAAGUGUGCAACUCAUGACCACAGCUCAAUAACAUGUACAUUGUGGCGUUGUCUUAAUCUACAGUAAGUUAUAUAUUUAAAACCUUUAUUUAACUAAGCAAGUCAGUUAAGAACAAAUUCUUAUUUACAAUGACGGUCUACACCGGCCAAACCCGGACGACGCUGGGCCAAUUUUGCGCCGCCCUAUGGGACUCCCAAUCACGGCUGUUUGUGAUACAGCCUGGAUUCAAACUAGGGUGACGCCUCUAGUACUCAGAUGCAGUGCCUUAGACCGCUGCCUCACUCGGGAGCCCAUUGUUGGAGAGAUAGCAACCCUUAAAGCACUCUUGUAUGAUAAUGGUGGGUUAAAUUGUGGAUGAGGGUAGAAUAGACUGACAAUAUCCCUUUUCAUUGCUUUCACCAUUAUGUUUUGUAUACUUUAGAAAUUAUUAUGUUAACUGGUGUUGAUGACUGGGAUUUCAAAAAAAGGUCCAAUGAAAGAUCUCCUUUGUUUCUUUCUGAUUGUUUUACAGAAUUAUGUUCACACUCCUCAAACGAAACAAACCUAGGGCUUGAUUCAAUCCGUAUCGCCGAAAUUGCGCGUUAUUGUGGGUUUGCAAUUUAAAGGUAAUUUCCGAUUGAGCUGACAUAUGCAGUCUCCGCAAACGCGGGAAUAUUACCUUAUAUAGGCCAGGGUUUCUCCAAGAAUCUCAAUAUCCAUAUUUGGUUAACUCUCUUGAAAUAGAUGUUAACUGCUGUCUGCGUUCUCAGGUGGAUAAUUCCCCAUCUGCUCCCCCCCCCCCCCCCCCUGCUCUCUCUUGAGCUGAGCAGCUGUGACACCAGUUUCUCCUGCUGGAGGGAGAGUGGGAGGGAGCGACAAUUAGACAGGGAAUCAGAUUUGACCUGCAUAGAGCUGUAAGAUGUACCUGUUCAACAUAACACCACAUUCACUUACACCGCUGCUGAUUCAACUCUGAGUGAUGGCAUAGCUUGACCUGGAAACAAGACCAAGAUUUUACUUUGGCGUGCAUGUCUGUGUGUGUGCGAGAGCUUCUCCCUCAAUCAAGAUUCAUCCCGAGAGAGCACAAGCUUCCCUCUUUCUUCAGAGCAGCAGUUCAGCUGUUAUGUGACUAUCCCUGCACACAGGUGUUUACAGGAAAUGGAUAUCAGAAGCCACAGGAGAGGUGAGUUCUUUAUUGUGCAUUUUGUUGGCAAUAACAUUUCAUCUUGCCAAAGAGCAUGAAUAGUAAUGGGAAACAAUAAUUUAUUACCUUAAAGAUGACUCAUACAAUACCUCAAUGAAGUGUCCUAUUCCUUUCCCCAGCAAUUACUACAUAAUAACCAUUUACUUUGUAAUCUUCAGUAAAUACUAAGGCAAUUAUGGUUAACAAAAAAUAGGGCUGUCAGAGUUAACCAGUCAACUUGAGUUAACCUUUUAUGUAAUUGUAGUGCAACAUAUUGUUUUGCCGUGAAUAAUCGUAUUGUCUGAAAGCAUUUUAAAUACACUAAACAUCAUUUAGAGCUAAAAACAGUUGAGGUUAAAUAAAGUGUGCUUUAUCAAUGUACCUGAUUUUGGACCAAAUCAAGACGAAAAUGAUUGUAAUGAUUUUCAAUCUUAAAUUACAGCUUACUUUUAAGCAAAUUCUGAAUUUGCAAUAAAUCGGGAUUAAUAACAGCAAAUCCUGCGAUUAAUCCGAUUGCAUUUAUCGUUUGACAGCCCUAUUAAAAAUGUAACAAUCUCCUCUUCCUCUGUCAGGGAGCUACGUCUGUCGAAAGGCCCAUUUGUUCGUCUCUGUCUGUCAAGGGCCACGAUGACAUUAUCCAUGACCUCAUCCAUCCUGGAAUCCGACCAAUCCCGUCCUGGAAUCUCCUCUACACCGUGACCACCAGUGCGAGUUGAUGCUCAGUCACAGAUGGUGGAAACAGUUAACAGUCAACACGACCAGGUUGUAAUGGGAGACCAGAUUUAACUGUCAUAUUAGGCCCGCUGAGACAAUGUUGUUAUAUAGCUUACAGUAGUGGAAUAAUACUAUUUAUUCCUAAAUUACAGUUAUACAGUACCAAUAAGUAUAGGUGUAUACAUAUUGAUAUGAGUACCAUCUCAGUUCUGGAAAACUGUGCCAAAACAGCUCUAAGUCUGCUGGCUUUUGUCUUAGUAACAAAGGUAGAUGGCAUUUUAUUCCAACAAAUAACUGCUUAAUAAAGAUUUUAUUACAAAAAUACACUUUUCAAAAGCAUUUCAAUGAAAUGCUCAAUAGGUCAAAAUGUUUUAAACAAACAAUGAGGAGAGGACAGUCAUAGAAUGUCUUUCAACAUCUUUAAUGGAAGCAGUUAUUUUUUUCGUUUGUUGAAAAGUAAUGCCAGCUGGAAAAUUGCCAAUACAGAAGCUCAGCUGAAAACACACACAGCUCUGUUGGGCAUCACUGGGCUUUGCAAAUACGUCUACCAAACACAGACAGCGGGUGGGUUAAAUCUCCCAGCAGAACAGAACAGGCUCUCAAUAAUCAGGGGAGAAGAGAGAGGCCAACAUUAUACAUUUUUAACCUCAAUACAACUCCAAACACCAUCAAGCUCUGAAUGUAUAAUUCUGGGCCAUUGUUCCUCAUCAAUAGGUAAUAAGCACCAUAUUCAUAUCAAUAUAAUCACUUUCAUCACAUUCACCAAUAGGUCCACUUUCACUCAAAGACAGACCCAGGAAUUUGUAAAUAUAGACAAGAAUGAGGUGGAUGAAAUUAUACCUUGAAGACAGAAUGAAGUGUGUCAGUUAGCAAUGAGCUGUCGCCCACUAUGAUGUGGGCGUGCCCCAAGGUUCAAUACUGGGGCUCCUUCUAAUUCAGCCUGUACAUUAAUUAUCUGCCUUCUGUCUGUACUUGAUCUGAAGUUCAAAUGUAUGCAGAUGAUAUAGUGAUAUGUGCCUGCAAAGAGCAACCAAGCUGCACAAGAACUCACUAUUGUAAUGGUCCAGGUUACAAAGUGGCUCAGUGACUCAUGUUUGCAUCUCAAUGUGAAGAAAAAAAACAGUCUGCAUGUUCUUCACAAAGAGGGCAACUGAUGCUACUGAACCAGAUGUCUAUGUGUCAGGGGAGAAGCUCCAAGUGGUGUCUGAUUUUAAGUACAUUGGCAUCAUACUUGAUUCCAAACUCUUUUAAAAAGCAAGUGAAAAAGGUAACUCAACCUAGCUAUUUUCCGAUUCAUAUAAAAUUGUGACUACUGAGGUAGCAAAACUGUACUAUGAUACUCCCCCACUUAACAUACUGCUUGACUAGUUGGGCCCAAGCUUGCUGUACAACAUUAAAACCCAUUGUCUAUCUACAAACAGCCUCUCAAAGUGCUUCAUAGGAAGCACAAUAGCCAUCAUCACUGUCACAUCCUCAGAAAGCAUGAGCUCCUGAGUUGGAAAAAUCUUGUGCAAGAUCCUAAAUGGCCUGGCUCCCCCUCCACUCAGGACUUCUGUUAAUUCAAAAAACCCAAACCCAUGGCAGCAGAUCCACAAGGUCUGCCAUGAGAGGUGACUACAGUUGAAGGAAAAACACCUUUCGUCAAUCUGCUUUUUCUGUGAGAGCUUCCCAUGUCUGGAAUACACCUUGAGCAAUGUCUUCAUGUUUUUUGUGAAGUUGCGAUAGGUGCAGUUGUGUGUGUCAUCAGACACACACAACUGCACCUAUCGCAACUUCACAAAAAACAUGAAGACAUUGCUCAAGGCCAAUCACACUUGUGAACAUAAUCACUAGCUGUGUAUGGCUGCUUUCCAUGUUAUUUGUAGCUUUUGAGGUGUGAAAACACUUUGUUGCUAUUAUGUAUUUUGUUGCUUUUUGUGCUAUUGCUCUCUCUGCAUGCUACGUGUUGCUUGUCCUAUGUUGCUCUGCGUGUGUUUACUGCUCAAUGAUUGUCUGUAUUGUUAUUGUUUUGAAUAACCUGCCCAGGGACUGCGGUGGAAAAUGAGCUAAAAAUGGCUAAAAUCGGCACUUUCACUGAAACGUUGAUUAUGGAUAUGUAAAAAUAAACAAACUUGGGUCUCUUUAUUGUCCUACCAGUAAGGUGAAUACCAGUUCCUUUAAGUACACUCACUCCCAACAUGCUGUUAAUAAUAAAUACAUUGACUCCUGUCCUAUUCUGUGGUACCAGUUUGCUUCAUUUUAGUCCGUGAGGGCUCCA